UAGGGAAUCUUCGGCAAUGGACGGAAGUCUGACCGAGCAACGCCGCGUGAGUGAAGAAGGUUUUCGGAUCGUAAAGCUCUGUUGUAAGAGAAGAACGAGUGUGAGAGUGGAAAGUUCACACUGUGACGGUAUCUUACCAGAAAGGGACGGCUAACUACGUGCCAGCAGCCGCGGUAAUACGUAGGUCCCGAGCGUUGUCCGGAUUUAUUGGGCGUAAAGCGAGCGCAGGCGGUUAGAUAAGUCUGAAGUUAAAGGCUGUGGCUUAACCAUAGUAGGCUUUGGAAACUGUUUAACUUGAGUGCAAGAGGGGAGAGUGGAAUUCCAUGUGUAGCGGUGAAAUGCGUAGAUAUAUGGAGGAACACCGGUGGCGAAAGCGGCUCUCUGGCUUGUAACUGACGCUGAGGCUCGAAAGCGUGGGGAGCAACCAGGAUUAGAUACCCUGGUAGUCCACGCUGUAAACGAUGAGUGCUAGGUGUUAGACCCUUUCCGGGGUUUAGUGCCGUAGCUAACGCAUUAAGCACUCCGCCUGGGGAGUACGACCGCAAGGUU
rnacentral:rRNA from 1 species